UUAUGUAAAGUCUAGCCUGCCCAGUGAUAAUUAAAUUUAACGGCCGCGGUAGCAUGACCGUGCUAAGGUAGCAUAAUCAUUUGUCCUUUAAUUGAGGACUGGUAUAAACGGCUGCACAAGAAAUUGUCUGUCUCUGCUAUAAAAUUUGAAAUUCACAUUUAAGUGAAAAGGCUUAAAUGGAAUAGGGGGACGAUAAGACCCUAUAAAUCUUUACAAUUAGGGCUUUAGUUAUUAGAAAGUAGUUAUGGAUCUAAAUCUAAGGUUUAAAUUGUUUUGUUGGGGCGACAGAAGUAUAAUAAGUAACUGCUUUGGUUUUCAUAUUAAUUGUUUUUAUUAUGGUUAGUUUAAAAGAUCCUCUUUUGGAGAUCACAGACUAAGUUACUUUAGGGAUAACAGCGUAAUCUUUCUUGAGAGUUCAUAUCGAAAGAAGGGUUUGCGACCUCGAUGUUGAAUUAAAGAACCUUUAUGGUGUAGCCGCUAUAAGAGGA
rnacentral:rRNA from 1 species